rnacentral:rRNA from 1 species
CCGUACGAGCGCACCCUUGUCCUUAUUUGCCAGCGCGUAAUGGCGGGAACUCUAGAGAGACUGCCGGUGACAAACCGGAGGAAGGUGGGGACGACGUCAAGUCAUCAUGGCCCUUACGAGUAGGGCUACACACGUGCUACAAUGGUCGGUACAAAGGGUUGCCAACUCGCGAGAGUGAGCCAAUCCCGAAAAGCCGAUCUCAGUCCGGAUUGUAGUCUGCAACUCGACUGCAUGAAGUCGGAAUCGCUAGUAAUCGUGUAUCAGCAACGACACGGUGAAUACGUUCCCGGGCCUUGUACACACCGCCCGUCAAGCCAUGGAAGCUGGGAGUGCCCGAAGUCUGUGACCCAACCUAGUGAGGGAGCAGCCGAAGGUAAGUUCGGUGACUGGGGCUAAGUCGUAACAAGGUAGCCGUAGGGGAACCUGCGGCUGGAUCACCUCCUUU